UACAGAGGUCUCAAGCGUUGUUCGGAUUCAUUGGGCGUAAAGGGUGCGUAGGUGGCGUGGUAAGUCGGGUGUGAAAUUUCGGAGCUUAACUCCGAAACUGCAUUCGAUACUGCUGUGCUUGAGGACUGGAGAGGAGACUGGAAUUUACGGUGUAGCAGUGAAAUGCGUAGAGAUCGUAAGGAACACCGGUGGCGAAGGCGGGUCUCUGGGCAUCUCCUGACGCUGAGGCGCGAAAGCGUGGGGAGCAAACGGG
rnacentral:rRNA from 1 species